GGAAGGGAAGAAAAGAAGAGAUUUCGAUCAAAGCUGGCCAUUAUGCUCUACGCCUGUUAUUCUAGCGCUUGAGGAAAGAGUCUCAAAUCCAAGGCCAGCCUUGACCCUCCUCUAUCAAGUCUUGGUGGGUGGUUCCAGCUUUAUAUAGCAGUCCUCUUAUCUCGGAUUCCAUGAAAAUUCCAGAGAGAAACAAUACAUAUGGUUAAAUAGCACCGUUCUGGGUAGUGUGGGGAAGCCUUCUUCUGGGUAGUGUGGGGAAGCCUUCGCAGUUCUAUUCCAUCCUUCCUGAGCCUUCAUCCAGCCUGUCCGUGCUGUAGGUGACUCAGUCACUUAGCACCAGGCUGCUCUUACAUGGCUGUCUAGAUAGUGUAGCACUUAUGUUCUGAAACCUGACUGGCAGAUUCAACAGUAGAAAUGGUGAGAAUUUGGAAAUGCUGAGGAGAAGACAUAAAAAGUCUUCCUUCAGUCAAAGGUGAAAUUUCUUGCCUUUAACAGAGAAAACAAACAAACGAAACACCAUGUGCUGAAAUUGCUAUGGUUUCUGGUAAGGCUAACUCAGGUCUCACUCACGUCACAAAGACUGUGUACCACUCCUUCUCUCUAUGUAGAGAGAAGACCUUGAAUUUUGAUCCUCCAUCUCCAUCCAAGUGCUGGGACUGCAUGUGUGCACUGCCGUGCUCAGUCUAUUUGACGCUGUGGGUUGAACCCAGGGCUUUUGUGCAUUCUGUGUCAGCAGUCCAGGGGGACUGCUUACAGGAGGAAGUACACUACUUCCUCCAGUCCUUUCCUUUCAAAUUAUUGGAUGCCUUUCAUGGGGUGCUCCAAGGAGGCAGUGAUAUGUUGACCUCCUCACAGCUGUAUCUUGGCACCUAGAAUGACAUAAUGCUAAAUAAAUCUGUAGGAUCUGAAUGACCGGAUAAAUGAUGCCCACCCAUCACCAAAGGUAAGUUUGGAAACUGUGACCACAAAGCCACUUGAGUGGUGUUUUUAAGCCUAUAUUAACUUCUUCGCUCCUGGAGUCGUUCAGAUGUAUAACGCAAAAGCUCUUUUCUCCCCCUCUUCCUUUAAAUGAAAACUUCUGGGCAGAAGUUAGAUGUGUGGUUGUGGGUGCUCUGAGGGAGUGGGGAUAAACACAAGCACUACAGGAGAGAGUACUCCAGUGAGAUUCGUUAAAUAUGGUGGGAACAUCUAUUCCACUGGGUGACUGAUGACAUCUGUAGGCACUACUGCUGCCAGGCCUUGAGUCAGGGAGAGAGGUCGGCUCAACUCUGAUUCAAAGAAUAAAGCAGGGCCUUGAAUUAUAAAGAAACAUCAGAGGUAAGAGAGCUGCUGCCUCUAUUGAGUGGAGAGGAUUGGUGUUGAACAGCGAUUGCCAUGAUUUGAUGUUGAAGAUGGGCAGAUACUGAAGAUGGGAACUAUGUAGUGAACUGACUAGACAGGACUCUCACUCAAAACAGAUUCCACCAGACAGAAAAGGCAGCCCCAGAUCAUGAAGAACCUGGGGGUCUGACUGGAGUCAGACUCUGGAGAGAGUCUUUUUCAGGCUUGUUUGUUGGCUUUUCUUCCAGGAACACAGAGCCACUUACUCUAUUCAGGGCUGCGACUAUCAUGUCUAUGACUGACCGGGACCUUCUCCGAGUAAACACAUUCAGGUUAAGGUGACCUUGCUCUGCAGAGAACAGGUCGCCUUUGGAGGACGUGCUAGGAGAGAACAAGAUGACAAGCAGAAUCACACAACAAGGUGACACCGGCAGCCGUGUAGGCAGGUUAAAGACUCCAGCGUGAUCAUGAGAGGUAUUUUUAGUGGAAACCUUAGCUUCUCCCUGUACAAACCAUGCUAUGAAAUUAAUAACGGGGACAUUCGGAGGGAAGGACACCCUUUCUUCCUCUCUUUAAAUCAGCGAGAGGGGAAAAAGCAAAGCGCCAUAAAAAGGAGGUAAGAUUAAAAGACUCUGAGCUGUAGAUUUAAAAAUUAAAAUCGCAAAAUCUUUUUUUUUGUUGUUGUUUUUGUUUUUUGUUUUUUUCAAGACAGGGUUUCUCUGUGUAACCUUGGCUGUCCUGGAACUCACUCUGUAGACCAGGCUGGCCUUGAACUCAGAAAUCCACCUGCCUCUGCCUCCCAAGUGCUGGGAUUAAAGGCGUGCACCACCACCGCCCGGCAAAAUCACAAAAUCUUAUUUCACAUAAGACAUGUGGCACUCUAUUAUUAAUCAAAAGCAGGCAUUAUGCUAGACCAUUUUGCCCAACCCUAAGCUAAAACAAACAAUAUGAACAUAUUUAAGGUCGGAUAGGUCCCGCUUUGGUAUUCAGUAGAUAGGUAUAUUAAACGUAUGCUGAGUUUGUGAACUUUCCUGUUUGUUUAUGGAAAUGUAACCAUGUCUAAAGUCGAAGAGCAUUGCUGCUUAUGAAAAAAAAUUGCCCAGUAGGAUGUAGGACAUACUUCCUCAUUUACAGAGUAAGUUCUUUUUUUUCUUUUCUUGGUUUUUUUUUUUUUUUUUUUUUUUGAGACAGGGUUUCUCUGUGUAGCCCUGGCUGUCCUGGAACUCACUCUGUAGACCAGGCUGGCCUUGAACUCAGAAAUCCACCUGCCUCUGCCCUCCAAGUGCUGUGAUUAAAGGCGUACGCCACCACUGCCCGGCCAGACUAAGCCCUAAAGACAAAGAUGGGUUCAGAAGAGUGGCGUCAGCUUCAGACACACAGCAAGAACAGACCUUAUGAAGGGACAUGCCACACAUCUCGGAUAGCAGAGCCAGCAUCGGCUGUCUUGUGGAAGAGUCGGUCACGGUCACAUCUGGGAGCGGCACUGUCGUUCCUGUCUCGUAUGUGCUCCUGUGUCACAUGUCACCUGUCAUCUUCAGAACCUGGAGGUUAUGACUUCGAGAAGCCAAGGCCUGCUCAGGUGACGACAGCUUCAGAGAAGCAGGAGCCCACAUGGCAGCCCUCAGGAAAGCGGAGAAACUGACUGCACUGUACUGUGUUGGGCUUGGCCGAGGAUGCGCUAGCUUUCAUUCGCCGCUGAAACCCGCAGAGUUGUCUUAGCUUCGUGCAAAGCUCAAGAACUGUACACCACCCUCGUGCAUCCAGGAGGCCCUUGCUAUAUGCAGAAUAAACAAAUGCAAAGGCUCUGCUGUGAGACUUGCUGAGGGAGGCCACUAGAGGGAAACAAAGGCCCAGAUUUGGACGAUGUCCCCAGAGGGCCGGAACAAGGUGGUGGGCGGUGUACACUGCGCUCUCUAGCUUCUAUUUAUAACACAUCCAGAAUUAAAUACAGCAGCGCCAGGAGGGUGCCUUCGUGAAUACAAACGACUUCAGCGAGGCAGGGAGUGUCAACCAGAGCCUACGGAUCUGCCUAUUUUCUUGAACCUUAAGUCCCCGUCCUCCCUCCUCCCGACCCCCCCCCACCUCCUCCCCACCAUCCUCCCCCCUCCCCCCAACUCCAAGAUGCUACCAGAUUUCUGGGAUUUUUUUUUUUUUUGGUCAUCUUAAGAAAUAAUUUUUACCAUAUGUUGAAUCUACAGUUUGAGCUGGCAGGGCCCUCGGUAGUGUUUGUGGGAACUGCUUAGCAUGUGCCUGCCAUCUGGUGGGUGAGAGGGAAUGGGCAGGUCCAGCCACCCUCUGGCUGCUAGCAUAGGAUUUCCUGGGCAACAGGGAUCAACCUUAGGGCGAAGAAACCCUUACAGUCGGUAUAACUUAGGAGGAGAUCACAGCCUGGCCAAGCUAGUGAGUCGCAGGGGUUCAGGGAAGGGAAGAAUUUUUGAAAUUUUUGCUGCAGUAUUUAUCGAUAGGAAGCGGGGUUUGGAAAGAGGCUUCUUGUGUAUAUGCAAAACGCCUUCCUGGAAGCCUUGGGCUUUCCCUAGUGGGGAUUUCACGGGCAACUCAGACACUUAACAAGGUGCUAGUGGGAACCUCUCAGCCUUAGCGUUAUCAACAGCCACUCCCCCACCCCCAUCCCCCGGCCUGGGGUCAGCUGCCCUGGAAACCGCUCCCUCCGUGCUCCUCCAUGGUAAGGUGGGACUAAUUCUUCGUGUACUUGCUGCUUAAGAUUAGCUUAAGAUUUUGCGCUCUAAAACCUUGGGUCUCAUUGGACUCCUUUGAUCAUUCCAGACUUUUUUUCAAAAAGACCAGGCAAGAAGGAGUUUUAACAAAAAACAUAUUCAUAUCCCCCGCCCCUCUCAUAAGGGAUAGUGGGCUGGGCCGUGACCAAAGAACAACCUCUAACCUCUCUUCUUCCUAAAUAAGACUUUACUACUUUCCCAAAGCUCAUUGAAUGCCCAAGGCGGACAACUUGUCCCUAGUCACCCAUGUUUGCUCUUCCUGAAAGGUUACCCCAUGAGUACAGGCUCCCUACAUGUUCCCAAGCUCCGAGUAAUGAACUAAGGAAAUGACCCCUGAAUGUAUAGUCAAAGCAGGCUCUAGGCAAGGCCGCAGCUCUUGGUGUAGGAGUUAUCAUCCAAGUAAUUUACCAGCCUGUGUAGAUCAGAGUUUACAAAGUUAGAGCAUCCCAUGGCAGGGAUCGAAAGUCUGGUCUUUCACAUUGUGCAGUAUACAGUACAGUGCCCUCUAGUGGGCGACACAGAUGUAGCCUCCCUUUCUUCCAUUGAGUGAGAACAUUUUUCAAUGGUUAGGGGACAUUUAGUAUUCACUAACCUUGAGUGGGAGGAGUUUCCCCAUAUUUUGCUUUACCCAGAAUGCUCCAGUAAGCCUCAGGAGAAUGGAUGCAUCGGAUAUACGUAAGAAAGUAAGGUAUUAGAAAGUAAAGUCAUUCGGAUAUUUGCAAGCCUGAAGCAGGGAAAAAGCUGUGAAUACUGUGACUUCAAAGUUAGCCUGGGCUACACUGACUUAUCCUGUCUAAAAGCAAAACACAGAGAAUGAACAAAAACAAAGGGAAAAGCCGUAUUUCAUUGUAUAGAUCAAGAAUUAAGACACGGGCUGGUGAGAUGGCUCUGAGUUCAAAUCCCAACAACCACAUGGUCGCUCACAACUAUCUGUAAUGGGGUCAGGUCCCCUCUUCUGGCUUGCAGGCAUACAUGUAUACAUAAUAAAUAAAUCUUUAAAAAAAUUAAGACACACAGUGACUCAAGCCAAGUUGUAGAGUCCUGUGGGGUGUGGGGGUGUAUGUGUAUGCAUGAGUGAGGCAUUCACACUUUCUGGAACACUGUAUACAUUUCAUGAGGCACCAUGGACCCGGAUUUAGACAGUCUCCUGACCUCUCUCAGCCUUUUCUUCUCUGCUUGUUUUUGUUUUUUGUUUGUUUAUUUGUAGACAGGGUUUCUCUGUGAAGUUCUGCCUGUCCUGGAACUUGCUUUGAAGACCAAGGAUCUCGGACUCUGAGAUCCGCCUGUCUCUGCCUCCUGAGUGCUGGGAUUAAAGACAUGCACCACUACCCCCACUCCCAACACGCCUUUUCUUCUCUGUAAAACGAAGAAAGGUUGUUGGAAGGAUUGUACAUGGCCUGGGUAAAAGAUCUAACAAGGCACCCACUCAACAAACGGUGGUUAUUAUUAACGACAGUCACACUGUGUUGUAAAAGACAAAGAGAAACAGGCACAAGGAGGCAAACCAGGAUUGUGAGGUGUUCUGGGGAGUCAGGCAUGCUGUGGCUGCAGAUUGGAGGGAAGGGAGAACACACCAGGUGGAGGGAGCAUCUGGAGCUGGGGGAGCACCUGGAGCUGGGGGAGCAUCUGGAGCUGGGGGAGCACCUGGAGCUGGGGGAGCAUCUGGAGCUGGGGGAACACCUGGAGCUGGGGGAGCACCUGGAGCUGGGGGAGCACCUGGAGCUGGGGGAGCAUCUGGAGCUGGGGGAGCACCUGGAGCUGGGGGAGCACCUGGAGCUGAGGGAGAACGUGGCCUCUCUUGCCAGCUUCACUGACAGCUAGUGAGGUUCCUUUUCUACCCAGCAUAUGUUUCCUUCUAAGCCUUGGACCCAGCCCAUUCCGGGAUCUCCAUAUGAAGGUCUUCAGAGGAGAGAAAAAAACUACAUAGGCUAUGUGUUGCUAACCACCAGACCAGACCUAUUUCAGCGACUUCUUUAAUGCAAACAUAUUUGGUAUUUAGACAAAGCCAAAAGCUAAAGGAAUGAGGCCAGCGGAAUUUCAAACAUCUGGAAACUGGGAUGGUGUCCCCCUGAGAGGACAUUUGUUCCAGGAGUCUCUGAAAUAGUGGGGUGGCCACAAGGACUAGGCUUUAGUCAGGAGAUGGGUCGCAGGGAUUUAGCUCCACACCCUAGGCUGGGUUUUAAGUAAACGAUAGGAAGAAGAAAAGAAAGGAGGGGUUGGGGAUAAGGAGAAGGUGACAGGAAGAUGGUGAAGGGGACAAAAAGAGGAAAGGAGGAGAGGGAGAGGGGAAUAAUAGAAUAUGAGUAAUGAGAGCCCAGUAUUGACGGAAACAAUAAUGGGGAUAGGUUUUUGUUAUUGUUGUUGUUGUUUUGUUUUGUUUUUUGUUUUUGGUUUUGGUUUUUCAAGACAAGGUUUCUCUGUGUAGCCCUGGCUGUCCUGGAACUCACUUUGUAGAGCAGGCUGGCCUCGGACUCAGAAAUCCGCCUGCCUCUGCCUCCCAAGUGCUGGGAUUAAGGGCGUGCGCCACCACACCUGGCUUUGGGGAUAGGUUUUUCCUCUGUGAUUUGUUACUGUAGGGCUGAGGCUCAAAGCCCUGGGCCUUGUACAUGUUGGGCAAAUACUUAACCACGGAACUACAUCCCUAGCCCUAAGUAUUAGGAUUUAGGUAAAAUAUUAGGUCUUAGGUGGAAUGUUAUGGCCUAGAUAAAAUGUUAAGGCCUGGGUAACUGUUACCUGGCUAGCCUGCCUUUAUAAGGAAAUUUUCUCAUAUGUUUCUGCUGUUACUAAGAAACCCUCUAAUGCCAAGAUUGAGUACAUAUUCUGUUACGUUCUGAGCCCUUGGAAACCGAUCCUGAUAGAAGACAGUAGAACUGUUUUGUAUCGUUACCUGUAAUAAGCUUGGACCUGAACCAACUCCCCAACAGCUCUUCCUGCAGCUGUGUAUAAGCUUUUAUGAUAUAAGCUGCCCCUAGGAUGGACCCCAAUAUAAGAGAGACACCUGCACUAAUUUAAGAAAUUAUUUGGAGUAAGAUUUUCAUUUUGAGUAGUGGUCGAGUAAAGUUUAAAUUCUCAAGACUUCCCUGGGAACUGACAUCCUACUUGGCAGAAAGAGACAUGUAUGUGGGUAACUGCCAUCCUGGUUGGCAAGUUAAUUACAUGAAUGUUAGACAAGUCCCAUCCUGGUAGACAAGUUAAAAUAUGAAUGUUAGACAAGGCAAGCCCCGCCCUUGAUUCAUGUCAAGUUAGGACAUGAAUAUUAGACAAGGCAAGUCCCCUGCCACAGUUCAAUACCCAACCAAUGGAAACAGGAUAAACAUACAACUAAGACAAGUUCCUUAGGAAAUCCCCUAUCCCUAAAUCCUGAUUGGUGAAAUAACUUGGCAUAGAUAUUUGUGGAUUUGGGGCUUAAAAAACCCUAUAGAAUCCUAACUCAGUGUCAUGGUUCAAUUCCCGAAUUUGGGGUGUAUGCCCAGUAAACUAUCCCUUUCUGACUGUCACUGUAUGGUUUGUGAGGUGAUUCCUGCACCCCAGCACUUAAGUUUUCAGAUGAAACAAAGGCUGAUCAAAGCCAAAGCUCAUGUCAGGUGUGGCAGUGGCCACCUUUAAUCCCAGCAUUGGAGGCAGAGACAGGUGGAUCUCUGAGUUUGAAGGUAGCCUUGCCUAUACAAUGAAUUCCAGGUCAAUUAAGGCUACACAGUGAAUGUAUGUCUCAAAAAGGGAGGAAAGAAAGAAGGGAUGAGGACUCACCCUUUCCCCGCUCUGUGACAGGCUGGCUAUUAUGUGAUUUAAUGUGGCUGCCCACAUUAAGAACUUCCAGUGUUCUCUUUACUUACCAAGUGCAGAUGGCACUAGGAAUACAAAGACGUGGGCCUCAUGUCCCCUAUGGCCCUCAGACAGCUGAUGGUUAAUGAUACCUUCAAUUUUUUUUUUUUUUUUGGUUUUUCGAGACAGGAUUUCUCUGUAUAGCUCUGGCUGUCCUGGAACUCACUUUGUAGACCAGGCUGGCCUUGAACUCAGAAAUCUGCCUGCCUCUGCCUCCUGAGUGCUGGGAUUAAAGGCAUGCGCCACCACGCCUGGCUACCUUCAAUUACUUUAACAGUUAACUAACUCAGCUCCUUCCAAAGCCUCGUCCCAAGUGAGGCCAGUGACUACAGAGUGAACUGAUGCUAUCCGUUCUGUUUAGCAAAAACUGAAGCCAUGUGGUUUAUAGGAAGCACCAUGGAGAUAGCUCCCGUCUGGUCACCCUCCCCGCACCCCAGUACAGUGGGAAACAGAUCAUUUCUAUUAACUAUGUAUGCACCAAGCUAGGUAGACAAGUUAAUCUCAUUGGGCACUCUGGAGGUAGAUACAUAAUUGUCUUGCCAGCUGGGAGUCUGAGCCAAACAGAAAGAGAACUUUGAUAGAGAUAUGUUGGGAGUUACAUCCAGACACAAGUACAGGGUCGGAACCUGGAAUCAAAUAAGAGUUUAAUGGACCACUGGUUGAUAUGACUGUGAAUUUAAGCGCAAGGCUGCACUCCUGGCAGUAUGAUGUUGCAGACACAGGAGUGACAGCCCACUGCAUUUUAUAGGAGCCAAGCCGUUACAUUAAGCACAGCUAUGUGCAGUGCUAGGCAUUAAAAGCUGGAUGAGGCUUUGAUGGAAAAAACAAUAGAAAUUUGCUGUCAGAGGAUUGUAAGCAGGAAGUGAUGAAGUUGGAGAGUCAUGUCUAAAGUACAGUUAGCACAAUUAUAGGUGAAAGUCAGCAGGACAGAAUACUACAGGGCAGUCUAACAUCUGUCUUCCCAAAUAUUUAAAAGAUGGCAAAAGAGCCAGGCUUGGAGGCCCAGGCCUGUAAUCCCAGUGACAAGGGGAGCUGAAGUAGGAAGCUCACACUGUCAAGGUUUGCUUGGACUAAUAGUGUGACCACAAGACCAGCAAGUUACUGGGCAAUUCAGUGAAAUUCCAUGUCAAAAUAAAGAGUGAAAAGAUGGCUGAGGCUAGACCUCAGUUGUAGGUCCCUUGGACAGCAUGCAUAAUCCUUCAACCCAGAGGGGAAAACAUUUACAAAAUGACAAUGAACAGGACUUCUUGUGUGGGAAGGCAGGGGGCAGCACCGGAUGUGUCUGAAGGGCUCCUCAUGGCUUUUGUGUCAAUCAGUGUGUGACUUGCUGACCUGUCUGUAGCUCACCUUACAUCCUGGCUCCAGAUCAGAGAGAGAGAGAUGAGUGACUUUGGUGAAAAGCCUGCAACCUCAGCUGAGUGAACAUCCCCGCCCCCCACUUUACGGUGCUGCCAGCCCAUGACCAGAGUUAAAUGAGACUCUUGUGAGUUCUUAGCCUCCAAACUUAUUGCGGCGUCAGGGUUCAUGGAUGUCCACGAGCAAAGCAGCUAAAUGAACCUUAUAAGUUCAAUGGCACAUUAUCCGAUGCUACAUUUCACCGGCACCUCCUCUGGACCAGUACCUAUGGGUACCAAUUUUUUUUUUAACCAUACUCAACAUGAUUUUCUAUGUCUAUGUGUGCAAGGGGGAGGGGUAUGUGUACCUGUGGUAUUCAUGGGUUUGAGUGGAUGUGGAAGUGGAAAAUCAACCCUUUUUCUUUUUCCCCCAGUGUCUCUCACUGGCCCGGAACUCACCCAGUAGGCUAGAUUGGCAGUUUAAUAACCCUGAGGUACCUGCCUGUUUCUACCUCUCCAGCCCUGGAAUUACAAGAGUGUGUAUGCCAUUGUACCCAGCUUUGUUGGUUUGUGUUUUUCAUGACUGCUAGGGACUGAACUCAGAUCCUCACAUUUGAAUGGCAAGCACUUUAUCCACUGAGCCAUCUCUUCGGCCCCAUCAUGAUCUUUUAAAAUAAAAACUUGAUGUGCCAUUUAUAUUUGUGAAUUCUUCAUAUGGGAAAAAGGGCUUCUUUAGAUUAAAAAAAAAAAAAAAA